CCUCCACUUUUCUGUAAACGUCAGGUGUUUCCCAUUUUGAACAUACUGAUCUGUGAACUCCUUCAGCAUACCCAAACAAUCUGCUUCUGUGCCUCCAGUAGUGAAGUCAAAAGAAAGUGGUGAGGAUCACACUCUAAAAUUGAGUAAACUUGAUGAUGAAUUCUAGAUUAGUAAAACUGGGUGGAUGAUGGUAGCUUUCACAGUGCUAUAUUGCUGCAGUUCAAAAACCAGCAGGUACAGGUGAAGUGAGACUAGGAUAGUUUUCUCUUGCUGGAAAGAUAUGUUAAGACAGAUCCUCAGCUGGUACAGUGGUUGAUGUGAAGUGUGUGAGGUGAGGAUAUAUUCCAAGGAGUGAAGUUCCGGUUUCAUUAAAGUAAUUGGGAAUUUUGCUAUUUCAUUCAGGGAGACAGGCUGUCAGUCCAAAUUCCUUGGGACAUAGAAAUGCUGCAACAUGAAACUGGAGGCAUUUUUCUGACUAUAGGCAGGUCUGCGAUAGAUGCAGGAAUGAGGGAGAAGGGCCCAGUGAAAGGAGACGAGAUCAGCACUUUGGACUGUAAGAUGUGCUGUAUAAUGUCUUUAUCAACUGCAUAGACAGUGGGAUCAAGUGCACCCUCAGCAAGUUUGCUGAUGACAGCAAACUGAGUGAUGAUGCAGUUGGUGCAAUAGAUGGAGGGAAUAUCAUCCCGAGCGUAGCAGAAAUGCUAAGUCAUGGCUCAAAGCAGUGAUUGAGCACCUGGUGGGAAGGCAGGGCCAAGCCAGGGGAGCUCAGGUGCAUGCAACAGACCUGAAUGAUUGGAAGUGCUGGAGCCAGGAUCCAUCCCUUCCCAGACCUCAUUUAAAGGUUGGCAGUGGAGGCAAGAGUAUCCUGCUGGAGAUGGCUGCAUACCUGAGGCUUUCUGUAGGAAAAAAAAAAAAAAAAUUGGACUGGAUUGAAAUGCAGCAUGAAUCAUAAGAGAAGUUUAGAAGCACAUGAAGAUGAAUGGGUCCCCAGUGACUCAACAGAGAACAUCUGGAGCAGGUCACAUUUUGAAGCUUUUCUGUGUAAUUAUUAGAGACUGAAAACUUCUUUAAAAACAAAAGUCCAGAUGAUUCUGUGUUCCUAAGACUCUACAAGCAAGAACAUCAGCAUCCUUGUUGCCCCAGAAAUGAAGAAAAGUUUUCAAGUACAUCUAAAUAUUAUCUAACACCUGAGAGGAUGUCAAGGAGACGAAGUCAAUCUCAUCACAGUGGAAAGUCAAGAGAUUAUGGACAUGUGUUGAAACAAGAAAUUGUCAAAUGGGAUGUGAGAAAAAGCUUUUUCACCACAAGGACAGUGGAACAGAGGAAGAGGCUGCCCAGUGAAGAUGAAUCUUUUGAAAAUUACUGAAUACAAAGAGGCUACACUUUAUUGGGAAUUCCCUGCACUGCAACUGAUUGAAAGCUAGAAGAAUAUGAGAUUUAUGGCCAUCCGUUUAUGACCAUAUAAUAAAUGAGUUGGGUCUCAGUAGAUUUAUCUGGAUCUAGCCUUAGUCUAAACUGAAUUGAAAAUAGCUGUUCUUAAUUUUGUAUCAUACUUUCCUCCAUUUUACAGUAAAUUUGGGGGGGGGAGGGGAGGAAGGUAAAAAAGCUCAUAUGAACUGGAUGGGCAAGAGGGAUGGAUGUGUGUGUGUAAUCUGAAGAGUGGGAAAUUCAAGCACCCUGAACUCCACCUUUUAACAAAGUACAAAUCUAUGAGGGGUACUGGUCUCCCUCAGCUGAUUGGGAACUUAGUUUGUUCAGAGCAUAGGCCUCCAGCAUGUGCACAGAGCCAUGGCCCAGACCUCCCACAGCUUGUUUGGGCUCAGAUUUGCUUCCUCACAGCUCCGUCCAGCCACUGGCAAACUGAUUUUUGGUUAAUGUUUUCAUAGAUAUCUGAGGGAUUUCUUUACCACGCAUACACUCUAACAAAAAAUAACAAGCUCUUGAAAAUCUUUCCAAAGGAGUAAGAUAUCCGCGUCUGACUUCACUUCUGUGUGAAUAUCACCAGGACACCAACAUAUUGUGUGGGACUUUUUCCCGCUCUUCUUGCAUAUGGAAAUGAAAAGGGUCUCUAGUACUCCUUUUUUGCAACCCCCCUCAUGACUUUUAUAUCAUGUUGUCAGUUUGGGGUGCUUUGCAGCUAUUCCAUUUGUCAAUCAGAACAGGUUAAUAAUAGAAAAAUUAUUCAUG
ensembl:lncRNA